GAGCUGAAGGUUUGGUGUCCAAGAGUUUAGAAUUACCCAUAUUCUUCAGCCUUUGAUUUUGAUCGGUAAGAUGGUUGUGGAUCAGUUUCUUUGAGAAGUUUUGUUGGUUUGCCUACACUGGAGAUAAAUUCUGAAUAAAUCCAACCAUGGAUUCUUGAGGUAUUGAUCAGGUUAAUUCGUGGUUAACUUGAAGAGAGACAACCAGUCAAGUUUAAUUAGUUGAGUAAAACCGAUGGCCAAGGAGAGUAUUCGGAUCAGCCGGAUCCUUAUGAUGGUUCUAAACCGAGAGUGAUCCAGAAGUGAAGUGUGAUUAGCUUGAGCUCGAGUCUAGUCUUC